GCCAGGUGUGGUGGCUCAUGCCUGUAAUCCUAGCACCUUGGGAGGCUGAGGCGGGUGGAUCACCUGAGGUCAGGAGUUCAAGAUCAGCCUGGCCAACAAGGUGAAACCCCGUCUCUA
ensembl:misc_RNA Metazoa_SRP Metazoan signal recognition particle RNA